CAAGUCGAACGGUAACAUUUCUAGCUUGCUAGAAGAUGACGAGUGGCGGACGGGUGAGUAAUGCUUGGGAACUUGCCUUUGCGAGGGGGAUAACAGUUGGAAACGACUGCUAAUACCGCAUAAUGUCUUCGGACCAAACGGGGCUUCGGCUCCGGCGCAAAGAGAGGCCCAAGUGAGAUUAGCUAGUUGGUAAGGUAACGGCUUACCAAGGCGACGAUCUCUAGCUGUUCUGAGAGGAAGAUCAGCCACACUGGGACUGAGACACGGCCCAGACUCCUACGGGAGGCAGCAGUGGGGAAUAUUGCACAAUGGGGGGAACCCUGAUGCAGCCAUGCCGCGUGUGUGAAGAAGGCCUUCGGGUUGUAAAGCACUUUCAGUUGUGAGGAAAAGUUAGUAGUUAAUACCUGCUAGCCGUGACGUUAACAACAGAAGAAGCAC
rnacentral:rRNA from 1 species